AGACACGAAGCGAAGACAGAGAGUUACAGAGAAAAUGCGAGAAAGGAUUAGAAGAUUAAAGAAAUGAAUUUCACGUCGUACCGUUAUUCUUCGUCACUCUCUACUACCGCCCACCGCCUCUGCUACCCUGCGCACCCUCUCAGACUAUCCGUUUCGCACCGCCGCCGCCCUCCUACUCCGCCACUGGCCGCCGCCAUCACCGCCUUCUCCACCCGCUGCUACCCUCGCUUCUUCACGAGGAACUGGCUCUUCUCCCGGAUGGAGAUCAUAAGAAGAACCUCUGUGUUACUUUUUAUGUCAACGUUUUAUGUUUUCGAACAGCAAGUAUGGACUGGAAGCAGUAUUAGCAAGAACAAACAAUUGGUUGAGCAUUUACAGAGCUAUGGCGCAGUAAGGUCUCAGAAAGUAGCUGAAGUGAUGGAAAUGAUUGACCGGGCCUUGUUUGUGCCUGAGGGUGCACCGCCAUAUGUCGACAGCCCCAUGCAGAUAGGUCACAAUGCUACUAUUUCAGCACCUCAUAUGCAUGCUAUGUGCCUUGAACUAUUGGAGAACCAUUUGAAGCCUGGAAUGUGUGCUUUGGACGUUGGUUCAGGGUCAGGUUAUUUGACUGCAUGCUUUGCUGUUAUGGUUGGACCGCAAGGUCGUGCUGUUGGUGUAGAACAUAUUCCCGAGUUAGUUGAAUCUUCUAUUCUGAAUAUCCGAAAGAGCUUAGCAUCCCCAUUGCUUGAAGAUGGAUCACUUUCAGUACAUGUUGGCGAUGGUAGGAAGGGCUGGCCUGAGUGUGCACCUUAUGAUGCUAUUCAUGUUGGAGCUGCAGCACCAGAAAUUCCUCCUGCACUUGUUGAACAAUUGAAGCCUGGUGGCAGAUUGGUUAUCCCUGUGGGCAACAUCUUUCAGGACCUCCAAGUUGUUGACAAGAGCACGGAUGGCACACUAACUGUCUAUAAUCAAACAUCUGUCCGUUAUGUUCCACUGACAAGCCGGGAAGCACAGAUACGAGGCUACUAGUGGUUGGUAUUCUCAUCAGAUACGUAAUUGUUCUCAUCGCAUCAUAUAAUGUUUGAUCUCUUUUUUUCAUUUGGCUGUUUACAGAAAGUUCUAGAGGAUAAGUCUGGAUGAUAUGCAUAAUGUAUAUUCUUUGCAAUAAUGCACAGCAUUUCAUGAGAAUGAAGAAUGGCAGUAAUACCUGAUGAUGACUCUAACAUGAUACGAGCCCCCGAUAAAUCAUCGUACCUCAGAGGUGUACCUCUAGAAUAAUAGAAGGUGAUUUAUUGGGUGUGCAUUGGGAGAUUGAUUUACUUGUGAAGAGUUUUCAACCUGUUUGGGAGGAGCUUCUUUCAUCGCCCAAACUCCGGCGCCUUGGCAGUUGAACACACCCACCACUCCGGUUAACUUGUUCAAGUUCCAUAUCUUGAGCAAGCUGUUGGAAUAUAG